AUUGACCUCGGAUCAGGUAGGGAUACCCGCUGAACUUAAGCAUAUCAAUAAGCGGAGGAAAAGAAACCAACAGGGAUUGCCCUAGUAACGGCGAGUGAAGCGGCAACAGCUCAAAUUUGAAAUCUGGCUCCUUUGGGGUCCGAGUUGUAAUUUGUAGAGGGUGCUUUGGCGUUGGUUGUGGUCUAAGUUCCUUGGAACAGGACGUCACAGAGGGUGAGAAUCCCGUACGUGGCCGCCAGCCUCCGCCGUGUAAAGCCCCUUCGAUGAGUCGAGUUGUUUGGGAAUGCAGCUCUAAAUGGGAGGUAAAUUUCUUCUAAAGCUAAAUAUUUGCCAGAGACCGAUAGCGCACAAGUAGAGUGAUCGAAAGAUGAAAAGCACUUUGGAAAGAGAGUCAAAAAGCACGUGAAAUUGUUGAAAGGGAAGCGCUUGCAGCUAGACGUGCCUUGGGUUGAUCAGCCGGACUUUUGCCCGGUGCACUCUUCCUUUGGCAGGCCAGCAUCAGUUUGGGCGGCUGGAUAAAGGUCUGUUAAACGUGACUUCCUUCGGGGAGAGCUUAUAGGGCAGACGACAUGCAGCCAGCCUGAACUGAGGUCCGCGCAUCUGCUAGGAUGCUGGCGUAAUAGCUGUAAGCGGCCCGUCUUGAAACACGGACCAAGGAGUCUAACAUCUAUGCGAGUGUUUGGGUGUCAAGCCCGAGCGCGUAAUGAAAGUAAACGGAGGUGGGAACCUUUUAGGUGCACCAUCGACCGAUCCUGAUGUCUUCGGAUGGAUUUGAGUAAGAGCAUAGCUGUUGGGACCCGAAAGAUGGUGAACUAUGCCUGAAUAGGGUGAAGCCAGAGGAAACUCUGGUGGAGGCUCGCAGCGGUUCUGACGUGCAAAUCGAUCGUCAAAUUUGGGCAUAGGGGCGAAAGACUAAUCGAACUAUCUAGUAGCUGGUUCCUGCCGAAGUUUCCCCUCAGGAAA
rnacentral:rRNA from 1 species